AUUAAAACGAUGAAGAGAACUAGUAUUUGAUUUUUGUUGUUUAGAGAGUCGGUGGUAGGUGGAAACCGGUCAACAUUAUCAAAGAAUCCGUCUCUGAGUGGUUUUCUGAAAUCGAAAGUAGGAAAACACGGAAACACCGUUACUGUAUGAAGAGGCCUUUCAUUAUUUUUUGACAAGGAAAGGCAAUUAGGGUGGCAACGCGGAGCAUAAGCACCGUCCCUUUU
rnacentral:ncRNA from 1 species